UACGUAGGGGGCAAGCGUUGUCCGGAAUCAUUGGGCGUAAAGAGCGUGUAGGCGGCCAGAUAAGUCCGCUGUGAAAUCUUGAGGCUCAACUUCGAGCUGUCGGUGGAAACUGUCUGGCUAGAGUCCGGAAGAGGAGAAUGGAAUUCCUGGUGUAGCGGUGAAAUGCGCAGAUAUCAGGAAGAACACCCGUGGCGAAGGCGGUUCUCUGGGACGGUACUGACGCUGAGACGCGAAAGCGUGGGGAGUGAACAGG
rnacentral:rRNA from 1 species